UAUGGCUCUUUAUAUAGCCAACUCUCUUGGCUUGUUGGGGAAGAUACCAAAUUCCCUUUUGAGCUAAUUGUUCAUCUCUCUUUUUGAAUCUUGAAAAAGGCUUCCUUGCCUUCUUGGUGAAAGUCUUGGAAGGUGUUAUGCUUGGUGAUCAAAUUCCUUAAUUGACCAUGUGGUAGAAAAGGACUUUUCACUCUUUAGGUGAAGGACAACUAGGGAGGAUCCUUGGUAUGAGAGAGAGCUAUUAUUGCUAGGCUACACCUUGGUGUUUUGUGGAGUGGGGAGCAAGAAUCGAGCUGGAGAAGAUCCUCAAGGAUUUGGAGUUCAACUCACUUGUUGUUUUCCUCAUUUUAGUUCUCUAGUGUGAAACAACUUUUGUAAAGGAGAAUCCCUCAUUUCCAUUUAUAGUUGCAAGCAAAUCCUUGAUACUUGAGCUCUUUAGAAAGUAUUACCUGUGGCACUUUCUUUCUGCAAUGUUAUGUAAAAUGUCUUGAUAUGUACUA